rnacentral:lncRNA from 1 species
GAAUGAAAACGUCAACCACUUUCCCGUACCGAUCAAAGAGUGGGAAGAGAUCAUCCGCCGUGGUUCCUAGCGAUCCAAGAAUGGACACGUCAGUAGUAGAUAUAGAUCAAAAGCAGAGAGAUGGCGAGGGAAUUAAAUGGGAGGUGCUUACGGAAGCUGAUGUUGAGAACGAGAAGGGAGUAGGUGUCCUUGAUGUCCGGCGGUCCCGAUCUCCCGAAGUGCGACAUGGCCGUCGACGACGAGAGAAAGAUCUGGAGUCUAGGGAUAGGGUUUCC